rnacentral:misc_RNA from 1 species
CGAAUGGGUCCAAAGACUCUUAAAACCUACCGUGCUCCCCUAUGUGGAAAACAGGAAAGCCCUCCGGGGCAUAGGAAAUCUGAGAAGUUGAGAACUGCGCCCCGGCGCAUGGCUUAAAACAAAAAAUUA